UACGGAGGGUCCAAGCGUUAUCCGGAAUCAUUGGGUUUAAAGGGUGCGCAGGCGGUUUAUUAAGUCAGUGGUGAAAUCUCGAGGCUCAACCUCGAAACUGCCAUUGAUACUGAUAAACUUGAGUUCAGUUGGAGUAGGCGGAAUGUGUAGUGUAGCGGUGAAAUGCUUAGAUAUUACACAGAACACCGAUAGCGAAGGCAGCUUACUAAACUGAUACUGACGCUGAGGCACGAAAGCGUGGGGAGCGAACAGG
rnacentral:rRNA from 1 species